rnacentral:rRNA from 1 species
UACGUAGGGGGCAAGCGUUAUCCGGAUUUACUGGGUGUAAAGGGGGCGCAGACGGCGAUGCAAGCCAGGAGUGAAAGCCCGGGGCCCAACCCCGAGACUGCUCUUGGAACUGCGUGGCUGGAGUGCAGGAGGGGCAGGCGGAAUUCCUGGUGUAGCGGUGAGAUGCGUAGAUAUCAGGAGGAACACCGGUGGCGAAGGCGGCCUGCUGGACUGCAACUGACGUUGAGGCCCGAAAGCGUGGGGAGCAAACAGG